rnacentral:rRNA from 1 species
CCUACGGGAGACAGCAGUGAGGAAUAUUGGUCAAUGGGCGUAAGCCUGAACCAGCCAAGUCGCGUGAGGGAUGAAGGUUCUAUGGAUCGUAAACCUCUUUUAUAAGGGAAUAAAGUGUGGGACGUGUCCUGUUUUGUAUGUACCUUAUGAAUAAGGAUCGGCUAACUCCGUGCCAGCAGCCGCGGUAAUACGGAGGAUCCGAGCGUUAUCCGGAUUUAUUGGGUUUAAAGGGUGCGUAGGCGGCCUUUUAAGUCAGCGGUGAAAGUCUGUGGCUCAACCAUAGAAUUGCCGUUGAAACUGGGAGGCUUGAGUAUGUUUGAGGCAGGCGGAAUGCGUGGUGUAGCGGUGAAAUGCUUAUAUAUCACGCAGAACCCCGAUUGCGAAGGCAGCCUGCCAAGCCAUGACUGACGCUGAUGCACGAAAGCGUGGGGAUCAAACAGGAUUAGAUACCCCGGUAGUC